UAGUUCAGUGGUAGGACACUUGCCUAGCAAGCAGGAGACCCUGGGUUCAAUCUCCAG
rnacentral:tRNA from 1 species